GACGAACCGAGCGAACGUUAUUCGGAAUCACUGGGCUUAAAGGGCGCGUAGGCGGGCCGGCAAGUCCGGGGUGAAAGCCCCCAGCUCAACUGGGGAAGUGCCUCGGAUACUGCCGGCCUCGAGGGAGGUAGGGGCGUGCGGAACUUCCGGUGGAGCGGUGAAAUGCGUAGAUAUCGGAAGGAACACCGGUGGCGAAAGCGGCGCGCUGGACCUCUUCUGACGCUGAGGCGCGAAAGCCAGGGGAGCGAACGGG
rnacentral:rRNA from 1 species